CACUCUUUCGAAAAGAAAAACACGUCUCUUCUUCUUCCCUGUUUUCCCGUCAUCUUCAACAGCGACGCCAGUGCUUCCUAACUCCGUCGGCAUCGCUGCAUGAGCUUCAUCAUCGUAGUGACAGCUCCACCGCAUCUUCAUCCCUGCAUCCUCAUGCCAAAGGAUUGUUCUGUUCUUUAACUGCUCUCUCUUCUCUCCUCUUCUCCAAGGGGCAAUUUUCUCGGAAGCUUCAGAGGAAAAAAACAGAAGAACCAUCAUAAAAGAAACACAGAGUGUACCUUAGAAACAAAGCAGAAGGAGUCUUUUGCUGGCAUUGAAACAGUUUAUUUCAGAAACAACCACACGCACACCAAGUGUUUGUUGGUUUGAUACAAAGUGUUGGACUGUUUCUUCCAUCGCGGUACAUCUUCGACAGGUUGGGGGUAUUGUUCUGAUUCUUCCAUGGAGUUGUUGGUUCACUGGCAAUCCCUUGUGCAUUACUUUCCAGAAGAAGAUUCUUAUUUUCGGCUGCACUUUCAGGUCCCAAAUAGAAGUCCAGAGCUUCUUCUGCCGGCAGUGGAGUGGCAUCAGCUCGAGUGGAGGGUGGUAGAACAAGUGCGCCAGUAAAUAUACUGAAGCCACGGUGUAGCAACCCUUUUUCUCCCUUGGCCAGGUAACUGAAUCAUCCCCUUCCCCAAUUUCAGUUUGUAAAAUAUUCUGUGCAAUAUCUGUACUGAAUUGUUCUGCAAUGAGCUGUUGGUUCCAUUGCUUGUUUUCGUUUAGGAGUUGAUUAACCCAAAUUAGUUGUUAGUAGGAAUUAACAUCUGAGUAGAUAAUGCUUGUUGACUUUUGAUCCAAGAGUCCUCCAUUUACAUAUGGGUAAAUACCAAUCUACCAUGUUAUAUGUAUAAAUUUAACUGGCUACACGUUAACAAGUUGCGAUUCUACCUUGGAGCAGAAGAAAAAAUGGUUAACUUUAUUAAAAUUUUUGGUUCUGGUAAUUGUUGGCGCUAUAAAUUGUGACCGCUAGUAUAUUUCAUAUGUAGUAUUUAUUAUGAAAUGUAAAUAUAAAAUUUACUAUAUUAUAUGAUAAUUUUUU